ensembl:lncRNA
UUUUGAAAUACAGUUAUUCUGCAGAAUAUUUAGUUCUCUCAAUUGUUGUUUAUUCAGCUCUUUUUGCAAGUGUUUGGGAAAAACUUGUGAAUUAUGCUGAGUUUGACAGAUUCGUGAUAAUAGUCCUGUUUUUAAUCAUGUUUAUGUGCUGCAUUUGCAAAAUCAUUUAUCGUAAGUAUUUCUGUGUGAUUCAUUCCCAUCAGUCGUCAGGUACUUGAUUGCUCCUGAUAAUAAUAAUAAUAAUAAUAAUAAUAAUAAUAAUAAUAUAUAUGUGUUAAAACUCUCUCAGUCACAUGCAGAUUCACUCAGUUUAUAUGCUUUUGUUGUUGAUUUUAUUGUUUAGUGUUCUGAAACUGGAUCAGAUCAGAUCUUAAUUGUUUCUUCAUUUAGUUGCAGUUACAGAGGUCGGAAAGAGAAGUGGACAGAUAAUUGAAAUAUUUGACUUAGUGGCUGAUACGAUCUUUGAUAUUCUGCCUGCUUUACAAUUCAUCCUCCUCUUCUUCACUUUUGCAUCUGUCAGAGGAGGAUUCAUCAUUGUUGUCAUUUUACCAGUGUUACUGAUGAUGACAAAUGACAGAUGUUUUUUCAGAUGGUUUGAUAGACUCAGGUGUUCAUUUUCAGUCAUAAGAACAGUGAUGUUAAUCAUCAUGAUAGCGAUUAUUGCAGCGAUGAUCGGACUUUACAUAAUGACACUUGGAAAUAAAACUGAUGCUGCUGGAUGGGGCUGUGUGAUUGCGUUUCUGCAGAUACUCUGGAUGGUUAUGAAGUUUACAGGCUAUUAUGGCUUUAUUGCUCAGGAUUUUCCUCGUGUUGUUCCUGUCUAUGUGUUUGGAUCAGUUGGUGUUGUGUUACUGAACUCUGUUGCUCUGAUGACUGAACUGAUACUGAAAACAGUUAAUGGUGCUCGUACAGUGGGAGAUCUGAGGUCUGUUGUCUUUCCUUCUGAAUGCUUCUUUGCCUUAUCUGUGGUGAUUGCAGGAAUAUUUCCAUCUGGCAUCGUAAAAUGUCUGCAGAACAUAGUGAAGUCUAGACAAGCUCCAGCUGACAGAUCACAGAUCGACUGAAGAUCAGGAGAAAAGUCUGCCUGAUUCAAUAAAGCAGCAUGAUUUUCUGCA